UACGUAGGGGGCAAGCGUUGUCCGGAUUUAUUGGGCGUAAAGAGCGUGUAGGCGGCCAGACAGGUCCACUGUGAAAACUCGAGGCUCAACCUCGAGAGGUCGGUGGAAACCGUCUGGCUAGAGUCCGGAAGAGGAGAGUGGAAUUCCCGGUGUAGCGGUGAAAUGCGCAGAUAUCGGGAAGAACACCCGUGGCUAAGGCGGCUCUCUAGUACGGUACUGACGCUGAGACGCGAAAGCGUGGGGAGCGAACAGG
rnacentral:rRNA from 1 species